rnacentral:lncRNA from 1 species
UACAAAGAAGUUCACAAGGCAAAUGUUUGAGGAUAACUCAGGCUCAAGGCAGUAUAUGUCUGAGGGGCAUUUCUCAUGGCAGGCCUGUUAUGGUCCACAAUACUGAUAGUCUGCUCAGCCAGACUCAAGAUAUUCAGCCUUUUCACAGCUAAUUCUUUGUCUUUUUUUUUUUUUUUUUUUUGAAUGUCUUUCUGGCAAAGUUAACAACAAAAACCAUGAAAUGGUCUCCGAUGUACUAAACAGCUGUCUUGGAGAUCAGAAGGUGUCAGCAAAGCACCUAGCGUUGUCUAAUCCCAAAGGAAGAUCUUGCUUAAGUGGAGAAGUGCUUGCAGCAGAAACCUUGGAAAUUUCAGGAGUGGGAUUUUUUUUUUUUUUUUUUUUAUUGUCAGAACUUUCAAUAAAAGUGCAGCCACAAAUCCUGGGAGCAUGAAAUAAAAAUUCCCAACAAGCUGUCUUACCUGCAUGCACUCCACUGAAGGCAAGGGCAAACACUGCUUCCAUGUCAGUCAAAACUCUGACAGCUAGCCUGUGAAGUUUGACGGGCUGCCAUGUGCUAGACUACCUAAGAUGCUCUUAACUGAGCCAUAAAAAGACAAAUAAAUUAGUAAUUGUA